rnacentral:rRNA from 1 species
GAUGAACGCUGGCGGCGUGCCUAAUACAUGCAAGUCGAGCGAACAGACGAGGAGCUUGCUCCUCUGACGUUAGCGGCGGACGGGUGAGUAACACGUGGAUAACCUACCUAUAAGACUGGGAUAACUUCGGGAAACCGGAGCUAAUACCGGAUAAUAUAUUGAACCGCAUGGUUCAAUAGUGAAAGACGGUUUUGCUGUCACUUAUAGAUGGAUCCGCGCCGCAUUAGCUAGUUGGUAAGGUAACGGCUUACCAAGGCGACGAUGCGUAGCCGACCUGAGAGGGUGAUCGGCCACACUGGAACUGAGACACGGUCCAGACGCCUACGGGAGGCAGCAGUAGGGAAUCUUCCGCAGUGGGCGAAAGCCUGACGGAGCAACGCCGCGUGAGUGAUGAAGGUCUUCGGAUCGUAAAGCUCUGUUAUUAGGGAAGAACAAAUGUGUAAGUAACUAUGCACGUCUUGACGGUACCUAAUCAGAAAGCCACGGCUAACUACGUG